UUUCGCAGUAUAAUUAAAUAAUUAGAUAAUUAAAUAAGUAAAUAAUUAAAGAACUAAAUAAUUAAAUAAUGAAAGAAGAG
rnacentral:rRNA from 1 species